GUGCUCGAAAGAGAACCUGCACACAGGUGCUGCAUGGCUGUCGUCAGCUCGUGUCGUGAGAUGUUGGGUUAAGUCCCGCAACGAGCGCAACCCUUGCCAUUAGUUGCUACGAAAGGGGCACUCUAAUGGGGACUGCCGGUGACAAACCGGAGGAAGGUGGGGAUGACGUCAAGUCCUCAUGGCCCUUAUAGGUGGGGCUACACACGUCAUACAAUGGCCGGUACAGAGGGUAGCCAACCCGCGAGGGGGAGCCAAUCCCACAAAGCCGGUCGUAGUCCGGAUCGCAGUCUGCAACUCGACUGCGUGAAGUCGGAAUCGCUAGUAAUCGCGGAUCAGCAUGUCGCGGUGAAUACGUUCCCGGGUCUU
rnacentral:rRNA from 1 species